AGAUGGUUCCGUUCUAUAUUUUAAUUCCGACAUCGAGCUUACUCGAUUCUUAACCAAAUUUGAAAAGCGCGACAUUCUUCCACCCCGCUUUUCAACCCAUAAGUAUCUUGAAUCAUUUGGGCCUGCUGCAAAUAUGCUCAAAAAUUUCUCAAGAGGACACUAAGCUCUUGCAUGCCAUAAUAACCGGAGCUAACAUCAAUUGGUGUCGGCUUAUCAAAAUUCACAUGCGUGACGCUAUCGGAGAUGACAGGCCUCUUCCUUAUGCUCUCCUCAUCAUGAACUUUCUUGAAGCC
rnacentral:lncRNA from 1 species